UUUUCUUCCUUCAAUUUGGUCUGAGAUUCAAUAUGAGGCUUGUGAAAUGAAAUGAUAAUGUAUAUAUAGAGAGAGGGACAUGAUAUAUAUUAAAUCAAUGAAAAUAAAAUAAAAGAGAAAUUUUGAAAUCUUACAUUUCGAACAUAUUCCUAUUCUGACUUUGGAUUUUCUUCUAAAUUUGGAGAAAAUAAUAAUUAAGAAAGAUAAAUGUCAAAAUACACAGUUUGGAAGUUUCUCAUCUCCUUUUGGUG